rnacentral:rRNA from 1 species
AUUGAACGCUGGCGGCAUGCUUUACACAUGCAAGUCGAACGGUAACAGGCCGCAAGGUGCUGACGAGUGGCGAACGGGUGAGUAAUGCAUCGGAACGUGCCCAGUCGUGGGGGAUAACUACUCGAAAGAGUAGCUAAUACCGCAUACGAUCUAUGGAUGAAAGCGGGGGACCGUAAGGCCUCGCGCGAUUGGAGCGGCCGAUGUCAGAUUUGGUAGUUGGUGGGGUAAAGGCUCACCAAGCCAACGAUCUGUAGCUGGUCUGAGAGGACGACCAGCCACGCUGGGACUGAGACACGGCCCAGACUCCUACGGGAGGCAGCAGUGGGGAAUUUUGGACAAUGGGCGCAAGCCUGAUCCAGCAAUGCCGCGUGCAGGAAGAAGGCCUUCGGGUUGUAAACUGCUUUUGUACGGAACGAAACGGCUCUGGUUAAUACCCGGGGCUAAUGACGGUACCGUAAGAAUAAGCACCGGCUAACUACGUG